rnacentral:rRNA from 1 species
AUUGAACGCUGGCGGCAUGCCUUACACAUGCAAGUCGAACGGUAACAGGUCUUCGGAUGCUGACGAGUGGCGAACGGGUGAGUAAUACAUCGGAACGUGCCUAGUAGUGGGGGAUAACUACUCGAAAGAGUGGCUAAUACCGCAUGAGAUCUACGGAUGAAAGCAGGGGAUCGCAAGACCUUGUGCUACUAGAGCGGCCGAUGGCAGAUUAGGUAGGUGGUGGGAUAAAAGCUUACCAAGCCGGCGAUCUGUAGCUGGUCGGAGAGGACGCUCAGCCACACUGGGACUUAGACACCGCCCAGACUCCUACGGGAGGCAGCAGUGGGGAAUUUUGGACAAUGGGCGAAAGCCUGAUCCAGCAAUGCCCCGUGCAGGAUGAAGGCCUUCGGGUUGUAAACUGCUUUUGUACGGAACGAAAAGCCCCGAGUUAAUACCCUGGGGUCAUGACGGUACCGUAAGAAUAAGCACCGGCUAACUACGUGCCAGCCGCCGCGGUAA